GAUGAACGCUGGCGGCGUGCCUAAUACAUGCAAGUCGAGCGAACAGACGAGGAGCUUGCUCCUCUGACGUUAGCGGCGGACGGGUGAGUAACACGUGGAUAACCUACCUAUAAGACUGGGAUAACUUCGGGAAACCGGAGCUAAUACCGGAUAAUAUAUUGAACCGCAUGGUUCAAUAGUGAAAGACGGUUUUGCUGUCACUUAUAGAUGGAUCCGCGCCGCAUUAGCUAGUUGGUAAGGUAACGGCUUACCAAGGCGACGAUGCGUAGCCGACCUGAGAGGGUGAUCGGCCACACUGGAACUGAGACACGGUCCAGACUCCGACGGGAGGCAGCAGUAGGGAAUCUUCCGCAAUGGGCGAAAGCCUGACGGAGCAACGCCGCGUGAGUGAUGAAGGUCUUCGGAUCGUAAAACUCUGUUAUUAGGGAAGAACAAAUGUGUAAGUAACGAUGCACGUCUUGACGGUACCUAAGCAGAAAGCCACGGCUAACUACGU
rnacentral:rRNA from 1 species